rnacentral:misc_RNA from 1 species
GUGGGAGGCGGGCCGGUGGUCGGGCUGCCGAUCACGAGAGAAAGAAGGGGGUCCCCUGGACCGAAGAGGAGCACAGGUUAUUUCUGAUGGGUCUGAAUAAAUAUGGUAAAGGCGACUGGAGGAACAUUUCCCGCAAUUUUGUUGCCUCAAGAACCCCUACUCAGGUAGCUAGCCACGCCCAGAAGUACUUCAUCAGGCAAAAAUCGGGUAGCAAGGACAAG